rnacentral:rRNA from 1 species
UAAUACGGAGGGUGCAAGCGUUAAUCGGAAUUACUGGGCGUAAAGCGCACGCAGGCGGUUUGUUAAGUCAGAUGUGAAAUCCCCGAGCUUAACUUGGGAACUGCAUUUGAAACUGGCAAGCUAGAGUCUUGUAGAGGGGGGUAGAAUUCCAGGUGUAGCGGUGAAAUGCGUAGAGAUCUGGAGGAAUACCGGUGGCGAAGGCGGCCCCCUGGACAAAGACUGAAGCUCAGGUGCGAAAGCGUGGGGAGCAAACAGGAUUAGAUACCCUGGUAGUCCACGCUGUAAACGAUGUCGACUUGGAGGUUGUGCCCUUGAGGUGUGGCUUCCGGAGCUAACGCGUUAAGUCGACCGCCUGGGGAGUACGGCCGCAAGGUUAAA